UACGAAGGGGGCUAGCGUUGCUCGGAAUCACUGGGCGUAAAGGGUGCGUAGGCGGGGCUUUAAGGCAGGGGUGAAAUCCUGGAGCUCAACUCCAGAACUGCCUUUGAUACUGGCGAUCUUGAGGCCGGGAGAGGUGAGUGGAACUGCGAGUGUAGAGGUGAAAUUCGUAGAUAUUCGCAAGAACACCAGUGGCGAAGGCGGCUCACUGGCCCGGUACUGACGCUGAGGUGCGAAAGCGUGGGGAGCAAACAGG
rnacentral:rRNA from 1 species